rnacentral:other from 3 species
AAUGGACUGCCCUGUUCGUGUUUUUUAGGAUAAGUUGAGCCGAUACUUACAAUAAGGGACGGGUCUCUGUCGGUAGUGUGCAAGCCUAGCUCGACUGGGAAGCCUAAAGCCGUUACACCUCUCCCACCUGAGCUACUCAGGUUCAAUCAUCCCCUAAAUCACGGCAGGGCGGUUUCUCC